CGCCCGCCCGUGGCGGGCAGCGCGGUUGUCUGCCCGGAGCGGCGGCUGAAGGGAAAGGGGAGCAGGCUGACGCAGUGGAGGAACAGGCGGGGUGGAAAAAUGAGAUAAUUUGAAAAACUACCGUGAUUCCGGGAAAAGCUUGAAGGAAUUUGGGGUUCCCGAAUCCAGGGGAAGGGGAUAGGACAGGACCAGGCGGAGACUGAGGCAGCCAGGGGUCCCGCGCACUGGCACUGGGGAAGCCCGAGGUGAUCAGAAGUUUCUGGCCUGUCUUGGUGGUGGGAAACAGCUCAGGUUUCUCAGUCGUCGCCUUAUGUUUGGCCUGAAAGGCUGGAGAAAUGGCAGAUCUGAGGAAUCGAUUUAAGUCACACAAGUGUACAUCAUGUUACCGCUUAACUGAUGCGCAUGAGAGAAGUAGAGGAGAGAAGAAUCAAAUAAAUUCAUUUUUACCUCGAAAUAAGCCUUGUCCUCAGCAGACACAUCAGAUUGGGAAGGUUGUUCUCUCCUCUCGGAGCCAAAAAGUAGAAGCCUCAAUGUUCUUCAGGUUUAGUAGGAAAUUCUGCUUUCAAACAUGUACAGUUCUGCAAAUCUAAUUUAACCCCUGUCAGCCAUCAUCAAACCCAAAACCUUCUAUCUGUUUUGAAAUGAAUUGGCAUGAGUGGGACGAUACGGAGAUGUGGGUAGAUCUAUCUGUGGACAAUUACAUUUGCAUUUUUAGACUGUACUGGCAUCAACAUAGCUGUGAUCAAUGAAAGAAGUUUACACUUACAUCUCACCUUGACUGAGAAGUAAUUGGCACAUAUCUUUACCCACAACGUGUACAAAAUUCCAGAAAGAAAUUUUGAAGCUGAAUUUAGAAACCAUGUACUGAAGUUUUACUGCUUUACCCCUGCUGUUGAAUGUAAAGGCUGAUUAUGAAGCGUUCAAAUGGCUUAUGCAAACUACAAAGAGAUCUUGCUUCUCCACAUUACACAGGAAGCCAAAAAAGGAAAAAAAAAAAAGGAAAGAAAGAAAAAAAGAAAAAAAAUUGCAUGGUGAGAGGAUGAAAAUAGUCAGGAAAUUGCAGACAAAACCAAACAAACAGAAAUAGAGACCUUAAAAAGCUGAAGAGGUUUCAGAGAGCUUUCUAUCUCGCAUGGGAUAAAGAGCAAAAAAAGAGUUGGCAUAGCCUGCCAACUACCUGCUACCUGAAGAUCAUGUUCCAGAGACCCUGCAGGUGACAAGUGACUGCAGCACAAAGCCAGUGUCACAGUACUGGCACUACAGGGCAUCUGUACAUUGCAGUCCUUAUCUGCAGCUUUCACAUCAAGUCCUUUCAGCUGGAGGAAGAUACGACAUUCGACCUUGGCAAACUCUGAGGAGAUCUGGUCACCAGGGAAGGACCCAUUUGGAGCUUUGGAUUGCUGCAAUUAAGAAUACUUCUUGAAGUUCAGAAUUGAGAUUUUCAGAUACAAAGGCUAUUUUUGGGGUGGAGGUGAAGCACACAUUAAUUUCUCUGCAUAUCCCCCACAAUCAGACUGUCAAAAAUUACUUGCCAAAUACCUGGCUGUGUUGAAGAAUGAAAUGAGACUGCAGAGAGCAUGACCUCGAAUGUCUAUCACAUCUCAGAAGAGGGGAGAGAGAGAAAAAACAAGAGCGAGCUCUGAAAAAGUGGUCUGUCCCCUUACCAUUUUGUAGGUGUGGCAAAAUGCUUGAUUAUACAGUCCAAAGUACAAAAAGGGGAAAUGCCCCAGCUGUCAGGCAGUGUUUCUUCAUAAGCAGAACUAACAACUAGCAUAACUGUCAUAAUAAAAUACCUAGGGAAAUCCCUAAAAAUGGAGGUAGAUAUCUGUAUAGAUCCAUACACACAUUCUAUUUACAUUUUUUUCAGUGCAUGCCAUAUGGACGUUUCAGUGCUUCCUACUAAUGGUAUAUAUGGGCUGUCUGUGAUCAUUACCCUGGAACAGGAAAAUUGGAACUUAGAAAGGAUUUUGUUAAUAAGCCUUUUCUAAAUGACACUUUUACAGUCCACCUCUCAAAGGAGUACAGUGCCAACUUUGUUGUGAGGCAGAUGGUAGUGAAAAAGGUGGAUGUGACUCUGAUCAUUUAGCAAGGAAAUUAAUUUAUGUGAUACUAACCAGCCUCCAAAUUGGGUUUAUUGGCUCAUUACAGUUUCUCCAAAAUGCCAAAGCUUUAUAUUUUAAAGAAGCUGAAGGUUAUUUUCAGGAUAUUUUAAAAAGAGAGCAAGAGAGAGAGGGGAGAAAAUUGAAUGAAUGACUGAGGAUCUGUAUUGAAGGUAAGAUGAUAACUUUUAUGCAACUUUGGAUGAAGGACUUUGCAGCUCCACCAAGGAAUGCUGAGGAAAUUCUGCAGUCAUGAUAAAAUGUGUCUUUAUCCACCCUUGCCUCAUCGAAUAUAAAAGAUCUUAGCUUAUUAGUAUGAUGGCUUUGAAGAGAAUACAUCUUUAAUUGAUCAAAAUAAAAAUUAAAUAGAUUAUGGCCUAGUGUAAUAGCAUAUAGAUAUUUCACAAUUUAUUUUUAAACAAACAAACAUUGAACUCCUUAUAGAGAAAUAGCUCUGAGUCUAUUUAGUUUACUAAAGACAGGAAAUUCAGGAUGAAAGUUGGACAGAAAAGCUGAAAAUCAGUGUUUGUAUUUCAGUGUUUUAUGUCACAUGAUGAUCCCUAUAUGCAGCUUAAAAUAUUAAUUCUUGACUGUGGAGAACAUACUGAUUGAAACAAGGAAGCCAACUAAUGGACAUUUUUAGCUUUAAUUUUGUUAAUUCCUGUUUGUGAGUAAUACAUCAAUGUCUAUCAUCAUUUCAUCAUAUUUCUCCUUCCAUACUGGUCUGUUCUUUAAUUGUGUUUUUUCCAAGUACUACAUUCUACAGUGUAGUAUAAUGAUAGCUCAUCAACACAAAGCUGCAUGGUUUGUUACUUCUUGUUGUAGUCUAUGGUAUAUUGUUGUCCUAAUCCUAAUCCUAAUGGAUAGUGGUGCCUCUAGAACUACCCUGCCAGAGGAAAUACCUAGUAGUAUUCCUUGAUCUGAUGCUUUAAGUGUCUGUAAGUGUGUUCAUAAGCUGAAGCAAUUUUUUUUUAAUGUAUUACAACAUGUAAU